rnacentral:lncRNA from 1 species
CUAUGCUGAUAAUUCUAAGAAUCAUCUAAUGACUCAAAAAAUUAAAAAUGCAUGGAGAAUUAAAGGAAGGAAAUAAAGAGUCCAAUGUGAAAUGGACUCUCCAUUUCACAUCGCCCAAAAAUAAGGGACGUCCCAUUUAUUUUUUGCAUGGAGUUUUUUCCAAGAGAAGGACUCCCUCAUAUCUUCCACAUCCCAUAUCCCAAUAGUUCCAUCUGAUGG